AUCCUGUGAUGCUUCACCCUAUGGUGUUGGAGCGGUUUUAUCUCAUGAGAUAAAACCGCUCCAACACCAUAGGGUGAAGCAUCACAGGAUAC
rnacentral:miRNA from 1 species